rfam:Rattus norvegicus chromosome 10, whole genome shotgun sequence.
GGGGAUUUAGCUCAGUGGUAGAGCGCUUGCCUAGCAAGCGAGAGGCCCUGGGUUCAGUCCCCAGCUCCU